CGGAUUGGAGUCUGCAACCCGACUCCAUGAAGCUGGAUUCGCUAGUAAUCGCGCAUCAGCCACGGCGCGGUGAAUACGUUCCCGGGCCCUUGUACACACCGCCCGUCAAGCCAUGGAAGCCGGGGGUGCCUGAAGUGCGCUGCCGCAAGGAGCGCCCUAGGGUAAAACCGGUGACUGGGGCUAAGUCGUAACAAGGUAAC
rnacentral:rRNA from 1 species